rnacentral:rRNA from 1 species
CGUACACUCCUGCGGGAGGCAGCAGUGGGGAAUUUUGGACAAUGGGCGCAAGCCUGAUCCAGCCAUGCCGCGUGCGGGAAGAAGGCCUUCGGGUUGUAAACCGCUUUUGUCAGGGAAGAAAAGGUUCUGGCUAAUACCUGGGACUCAUGACGGUACCUGAAGAAUAAGCACCGGCUAACUACGUGCCAGCAGCCGCGGUAAUACGUAGGGUGCAAGCGUUAAUCGGAAUUACUGGGCGUAAAGCGUGCGCAGGCGGUUAUGCAAGACAGAGGUGAAAUCCCCGGGCUCAACCUGGGAACUGCCUUUGUGACUGCAUGGCUAGAGUACGGUAGAGGGGGAUGGAAUUCCGCGUGUAGCAGUGAAAUGCGUAGAUAUGCGGAGGAACACCGAUGGCGAAGGCAAUCCCCUGGACCUGUACUGACGCUCAUGCACGAAAGCGUGGGGAGCAAACAGGAUUAGAAACCCGGGUAGUCCCAUG